GAUGACUACACCUAGAACUACUAGCAUCACCUUAGUACAUAAUUGGAAAGGACAGGAGUCAAAUUUAUCCUCAAAAUCAGGUAUGACAAGAAGAUUACUAAAGGAACGACAAGUGAUCAACAUUGCCUGUAAGGAAGAUGCUGCACAAGUGGUGUUCAGUAUGGAACAUUCUCAAUUCCAAGAAUCAUUCCUAAAAUGUCAAUUAAUACUAAUAGUAAACAGUGCAGAAGCCAGCUCUUUAUUUGUUUUAUAUGAAUGCCUUUAAACCAAGUUUGUUGAACAGUUCAGUGUGGCUGACAGUGAAUGUUUGUUUAACAGGAAUGCAUAGCAGACCAUGUUAAAAUGUGGCAUUGUCCCAAAAUACAGAAAGACUAAGACAUCCUACAUUUAGCAGCACCUUUUUGUAACAGUAACUUAAAUGAGCAGUAGAGAAAGAGCAUAGGAAAACCUGAAAUGGUUAUAACAAAGAACUAUUCAGUACAUUUCCAGCAUCUUCUAAGUUGACUACAAAAGUCAUGAUUCUACAACUACGAUUAAGCCUUUGCUGUGUGAAGAGACUAUAAUUUUACAUUCCACAAGUCAGUAAAUAUCCCUCUAUUCUUGGGAUGAUUUCUUCAUUUACAAAUUGACUGCACACUGUUUAUGCAUAUGACCACUAUACAGUUUUCAUGUAUAGAUGCUGUUAUGUCAAAUCCUUCAGUUUGGUGUUUGAGGACUACUUUGAUUUGCACUAAUAUUUUCCACAGUAAAGUGGAAAACUAAGUUCUUUGGAAGGGAUUAAUGAUAGCAGCAAGUAAGGUAGUUACCAGUUAUACUUCAAGAAUUUAAAUAUUCCAAAGUCAUUAAUUUGGAUAAGUACAUAUGUAGGAAAGGAUUGGACUAGUGAUCAGCCUGAUGAAAGCUGAUCACAAAUAUUUUAUGAAAGCGUUUUGACUGGAAUAGUUUCUCAAUUUGUAAAAAAUUGUCAAAAAUUAGUACAGAGCUAAUUAACAAAUAGACUGAAUCUGAGGCAUAUUUUUCAUAUAUUAACUGUUAAAAUACUGUGUUUGUAAUACAGUUUUAAAACAGUUUUCUUGGGGGUGGGGGAAAUUGGUUAAAUGUAAGUCAUUCAGGAAGAAACUGAGAUAAGGUAGCAAAACAAGAGUUCACGGUAACUAUUUUGUUAAAUAAAUUAAGAUACAGAUCUGAAGUAGGCA
rnacentral:lncRNA from 1 species